rnacentral:rRNA from 1 species
AGCUCCAAUAGUGUAUAUUAAAGUUGCUGUAGUUAAAAAGCUCGUAGUUGAAUUUCUGAUGAGAGUAGUCUGAUUGAUACAUUGUAUUGAUACUUGUACUAUCUCUGGUCAUCUUUGGAGGGAACAUAUUUGAUAUUAAGUUAUCAGAAAUGAGGUCUUCAUACUUUACUGUGAAAAAAUUAGAGUGUUCAAAGCAGGCUUUUGUUGUUGAAUAUAUUAGCAUGGAAUAAUUAUAUAUGACUAUGGUACUAUUUUGUUGGUUUGUCUGCCAUUGUAAUGAUUAAUAGGGACAGUUGUGGGUAUUUGUAUUCCAUUGUCAGAGGUGAAAUUCUUGGAUUUCUGGAAGACAAACUACUGCAAAAGCAUUUAUCAAAGAUGUUUUCUUUA